UGUUAACAUUGAUGGGGAACCUGGGCAUACUUGUGGUUAUAAAGGUUAACCCCAAACUUCACACUCCCAUGUACUUUUUUCUUAACCACCUAUCAUUUUUGGAUAUAUGUUAUUCUAGUGUAUUUACACCCAAACUUUUGCAGAUAUUGAUUAUGGAAGAUGGGACCAUUUCUUUUAUAGGAUGCAUGAUACAAUUUUUCUUUAUUUGUACAUUCGUGAUUACAGAAAUAUUCAUGUUAGCAGUGAUGGCUUAUGACAGGUUUGUGGCUGUUUGCAAUCCCCUAUACUACACAUUAAUUGUAAUGCCUAUACAAUUCUGUGCUCUGCUAGUUGCUGGGACAUAUAUGAUCAGUGGACUAUGUACUUUGAUAAUUCUAUAUACUCUUUUGCAACUCUGUUAUUUUGAACAUGGCAUCAUCAAUCACUUUGGCUGUGAAUACUCUGCUGUCAUCUCUGUGUCUUGCUCUGAUUCCUCCUUUAGCCAGUUGAUAUGCUUAGUCAUAUCUAUUGCUAGUGAAUUUUCUAGUGUCCUGAUCACUUUAGCCUCAUAUGUGUUCAUAGUUGUCACUAUUAUAAAGAUGCCUUCCAAAGGAGGACUACAGAAAGCCUUCUCCACCUGUACUUCCCACCUGACUGCCAUAACAAUUUUCCAUGGGAUCUUACUACUCCUGUACUGUAUUCCCAACUCAAACAGCUCACGGCUCUUUGUCAAAGUGGCCACUGCUCUUUAUACAAUCAUGAUCCCCAUGUUGAACCCCCUUAUCUAUAGCCUUAGAAAUAAAGAUGUGAAGGACACAGUCAGGAGACUUAUCAGCUCAAAACUGCACUCUCACUUGACAUAG
rnacentral:lncRNA from 1 species